rnacentral:rRNA from 1 species
GAUGAACGCUGGCGGCGUGCCUAAUACAUGCAAGUCGAGCGAACUGAUUAGAAGCUUGCUUCUAUGACGUUAGCGGCGGACGGGUGAGUAACACGUGGGCAACCUGCCUGUAAGACUGGGAUAACUUCGGGAAACCGAAGCUAAUACCGGAUAGGAUCUUCUCCUUCAUGGGAGAUGAUUGAAAGAUGGUUUCGGCUAUCACUUACAGAUGGGCCCGCGGUGCAUUAGCUAGUUGGUGAGGUAACGGCUCACCAAGGCAACGAUGCAUAGCCGACCUGAGAGGGUGAUCGGCCACACUGGGACUGAGACACGGCCCAGACUCCUACGGGAGGCAGCAGUAGGGAAUCUUCCGCAAUGGACGAAAGUCUGACGGAGCAACGCCGCGUGAGUGAUGAAGGCUUUCGGGUCGUAAAACUCUGUUGUUAGGGAAGAACAAGUACAAGAGUAACUGCUUGUACCUUGACGGUACCUAACCAGAAAGCCACGGCUAACUACGUGCCAGCAGCCGCCGCAG